GGUUGGUCCAAGUGCAGUGGUGUUUACAACUAAUUGAUCACAACCAGUUACAGACUCCUUUGUUCCUUCUCUACUCCCAGUGCUUCACUUGACUUGACUAGCCUAAA
ensembl:misc_RNA Y_RNA Y RNA